ACGCGUGGAUAACCUGUCCUACUCUGCGGGAUAACAGUCAGAAAUGAUUGCUAAUACCGCAUAAGCCCACAAAACCGCAUGGUUUAGAGGGAAAGGUAACGGAGUAGGAGGGAUCCGCGUCUGAUUAGUUAGUUGGUGGGGUAACGGCCUACCAAGACCGCGAUCAGUAGCCGACCUGAGAGGGUGAUCGGCCACAUUUGGGACUGAGACACGGCCCAAACUCCUACGGGAGGCAGCAGUGGGGAAAUAUUUGCACAAUGGACGGAAGUCUGAUGCAGCAACGCCGCGUGAAGGAAGAAGGUUCUCGGAUCGUAAACUUCUAUCAAUAGGGACGAAAACAAUGACGGUACCUAAAUAAGAAGCCCCGGCUAACUACGUGCCAGCAGCCGCGGUAAAACGUAGGGGGCAAGCGUUAUCCGGAAUUACUGGGUGUAAAGGGUGAGUAGGCGGCACUUCAAGUCAUAUGUGAGCCCCCAGGCUUAACCUGGGGACUGCAUAAGAAACUGAAGGGCUAGAGUACAGGAGAGGUAAGCGGAUUCCUAGUGUAGCGGUGAAAUGCGUAGAUAUUAGGAAGAACACCAGUGGCGAAGGCGGCUUACUGGACUGAAACUGACGCUGAGUCACGAAAGCGUGGGUAGCGAACAGGA
rnacentral:rRNA from 1 species